rnacentral:rRNA from 1 species
AGUGAACGCUGGCGGCGUGCUUAACACAUGCAAGUCGAACGAGAACGGGCUAUAGCUUGCUAUAGUUGUCAGCUAAGUGGCGCACGGGCGAGUAAUGUAUAGGUAAUAUGCCUCUUACUAAGGGAUAACAAAUGGAAACGUUUGCUAAUACCUUAUACUCCUUAUUAACAGAAGUUAAUAAGGGAAAGAUUUAUUGGUAAGAGAUUAGCCUGUAUUGUAUCAGUUAGUUGGUGGGGUAAUGGCUUACCAAGACUAUGACACAUAACUGGUUUGAGAGGAUGAUCAGUCACACUGGAACUGAGACACGGUCCAGACUCCUACGGGAGGCAGCAGUGGGGAAUAUUGCACAAUGGACGAAAGUCUGAUGCAGCAACGCCGCGUGGAGGAUGACACAUUUCGGUGCGUAAACUCCUUUUAUAUGAGAAGAUAAUGACGGUAUUAUAUGAAUAAGCACCGGCUAACUUCGUGCCAGCCGCCGCGGUAA